GGUUCUUGUUGCUUUGGAGACCACAGGAGAGGCGGUGGUGAUGGCCCAUCGCUUCAGCCCUGUGGCAUCCCCACAGGAUCCAUGGGCAUCAAGUAAUUUCCCUGUGCUCCUCUGAAGAUAAACCGCUGCCUGCACCAGCCUAGCAGCUUCCAGAAGCUGUGGAUGAGAAGCAAUCUCCCACCAAAAGCCAGAGCUCACCUGCAAAGCUUCAAUCCCAAGCAGAAGGAAGCCUCCGUUUUUUCCCCCCAGAUGAGCCUGAAUUCACCUCCAGAAAGUCUCAAUGCAUCACACCAAGGGUCACACACCUGCUCAUGGUUCUUCUUGAGGCAAAGCAGCUCCUCCUUCAGGGACUCCAGCUGGGCCUCCAGGUCACACUUGGCGAGGGUGAGGUUGUCUAGCACCCUGCGCAGGCCACAGAUGUCAGCCUCCACCAGCUGUUGCAGCGAGCGCUCUCUCUCGUACCUGUAACAGGGAAAGUGCAGGAGUGACAGUUAGAGGGCAGGAAGGGGCACCAGGACAUGACUCCCAGCUCGCAGCUGUAAGUCCACUGGCCUGCCCUUUGCCAUCUAAUUGUGAGUUGGCUUAUCCUGUGUAGUGUGCUCAAAGCCCAGAAAGCAACAGGAUGUUCCCCACUCAGUCAAUACUAAGCACCUGAGAUGAACCAAGGGGAGCAGCUGGUACUGAGGAUACUGUGAUGGACACACAGCCAGCACCUGCCUUUACACACAAUGGCCCAAAAGGGAGGUGGCAAAGUAACCAGGCAUUUGCAACACAGUGCAAUCACUGCAGGCCCCUCUCUACAAGCCCCAUACCCAAAGGGACCCUGGAUUCCCUAUUAGAGUAAAAGCCACAUUGCCAGCAUGAGAGGAAGGAAAUGGCUUUCUUUAGCUCUAGAAGAGUGAGACUUGCACAGUGCCCCGAAGAAAGAUGAUAAAACACAAUGCCCUUCCAGCACCCAGGGUAGACCCUCCUCAGGUGGUGUCAACCCUUUGACUUUCACAUGUUUUCAUCUUAGGCUAUGGAGCAUGAUUUCUGCUAUGAAUUAUCAGCACUCACAAAUUAAUCAAGCUGCAGCACAGAAACAUAUCCUUAUUAAGGCAACAGUUUCACAGGAAAUUGCUUCAAGAAAGGAAAAUUUGGUACAAAAUUUAAGGCCAAGUCCCAGCUCUGCCACUCGGUACCCACAUGGCUUCUGGCAAGUCACACCAGCACCCCAAGCCUCAGGGUCCCCACCUGUGGAGGAGAUUCUAUCCCUGCCCGCCUGCUUCACAAGUUGCUUACCAGGUGGAUGAUGCAUUCUAGCACAUGUUGUAAACUGUUAAUGCUAAACCACUGGAGAGCGGAUAGUUUUUCAGGAUCUUGAGCUUAAUGCCCUUUGUUCUCUUCUGCUAUAACUACUGGGUUGGGGUCUGGGUCAAUGACAUCCGAUGCCACAUGAGACAGAAGCAGCCAACUUGGCAUUGUCCCAUCCCCAUCCAACCCCAACUCUCACUUGGCUCCUUCCCAUCCCUGUCCAACCCCAACUCACUUGGUCCUGAAGUCAUCUGCAGCCAAUUUGGCAUUGUCUAUUUGCACAACCAGCCUAUUGUUCUCCGAUUUGGUGCACAGAAUCUGGGGUAAGAAAGUAGGCUCAGUAAGUGACUUACUGAUCCCAGAGACACCUAUAGCCUCAGGUGAGAGGAAGUUUUAUUGGCUGAAGUUGAACCUACAGCAUCCGCCUGGACAACACAAACUCCCAAACGUGCAAGAGAUGCUUUUGUGGUGUGGGAAGGAAGAUGUGCAAGAGACUUCUUGGAAAAGGAUGAAGACAUAGAGUCAAAGGAACCAGGAGAUGGAAGACAGUAGCAAACUGAACAUAUAACAAAGACUUGCUUUCAUUUUGCCAGAUAUGAUGCUUAGCCCAAUAUAAAUAAGAAGAUCUGGCCGGACGCAGUGGCUCAUGCCUGUAAUCCCCGCACUUUGGGAGACCAAGGCAGAUGGAUCACCUGAGACAGCUGCAAAGAUUUCGAGGUGGAAGAGAGCUCACUGAGAGACCGGAAAAAGACUUCAUGGAGUAGGGGAUUUUCCAAAUAUGUUUUGAAUGAUAUUUUUUAUAAAGGGUUGGGGAAUGAGCUUCUCUCAUAGAGAACAAAAUAAACACAAUCAAACAUUUGGAAAAUGAAAAAAAAAAAAAAAA
rnacentral:lncRNA from 1 species